UUUCUGCUGUUCAGCUGUAAAACUAAUGUUCCAAGACCAAGGUCACACUAGCCAUUGCUUUUUUAGGCUUAUGUCCCUCACGCACAGAUCCUGCCCUAUUACCUUGUUCAUUUCAAUCUGUUUUCCCACUGCAUCAGCAGGGAGUUACCAAGAAUACAGGCUCUCAGUUCUAACCAAGAGCCCUUUCUCUGCACCUCUCCUUCCAGGUCGAAGCACUGUGAAGCAGCUGUUGCCCUCCAGGAUGGCAUAUUUCCAGUCCUUUCCCUUUCCAAAGCUGUGGCAGUUGAUGCAUGCUCGUAGCUGAUUAUAAUGAAGAGGAUGAAAAUCAGGAAAGAAGCCAGAACAGCACUCAUCUCUACUUUGGAAUAAGAUCAAACACCUGUACAAGCAAGUCUCAGCAUAACAAACCCCCUCAUCAAGAUGAAGCUGCUGCACAAGCUUGAAUUACUAUAUUCUCACCAUGCUGUGAAAUCAACAUGAAGAACAAGAUAGUAUAGCACAUCAGGAGAAAAUCUGCAUCUCUACUUGACUUCACAGAUCAAAGCAUCUCCUAAGAUACUGUUACUCUCCUGCUAAUAUCAAUAUACCACGAAGAAAUUUCCCAAGGAGCAAUGAUACAAUAGCUCACCCUUUUCCCAGUCUCCGAGUUGCACCAAUGUCUUUUGCUCCCCAGUCUACCAGACGAUGCCUGCUUCUGUGGCACCUCAAACCAGCAGCAACCCCAGCUGCCAACACAGGGUUCUGUUGUCCAUUUUUCUGCACCAAGCUAACAGUGCUGAUGUCACAUCUUACACAGUAAUUACUGUGUUGAAGGUAUUUGGGUGGUGAUGAUUGUCUCUGUCUUUUGCCAGCUUUUUUUCUCCUUCAUUUUUGUAAUUGUUUAAGCAUGAUUGAAAAGACUGAACAAAAUCAAUACAAUAUAUUAUGCUAGCAGUAAACACUGGUCAUCUAGUUGCAAUAUUUAGGCAAAACUGAUUCAGUUGAGUCUGAAUUUCACUGAGUAUCCAAAACAUAAACGUAUGGAAAAUUGUGGUGAUACAUGCUUUAUUUUUACUUGUUUGCAAAAAAAAGCCAUAACUUUAUCAAACAUUAUAAACACUUUCACUGCUGACAACCCUCUUCAGACAUCAACUACUGUAAUUUUCCACACAUUUACAUAAUACUGGCUGAUUAAGCUGUCAGAAUUUUCAUUGCUGCUUGCUGCAGAAAUCAAAAAUAAAAACAGUGCAUUCACAGUGCUUCGCCCUCAGAAGAUAUUUGAAACCAGAGCAUAAGAAACAGUAAAAUGGCUAAUCUGAAGCAUAUGGGGGAGUGUUCUCCUCAGUUACUAAUUCAGCCAUGCAGAAUUUAGCUUCUUUCCCCCAGUACAAGAUCUGCCCCAGUUGAUAGCAGCCCACUUACCAACAACCCAAGCUACUGCUCUGCAGUCCUGCCUGAAGAGCCCUGCUGAAGUGGACACCCUCUUCCUUCACAACUCAUACUAAAUUCCAGGCUCUCUUACCCUGACCAUUUAAUUCUUAGAGGAACUACAAAGCCUCAGGGCCUGAAUCAUCUGGGAACCUAGAAAGCCAUUACCACUUUAGCCUAGCUCUGCCCUGUGUUAUUUCAAUGUAAUGUAAUGCCCUUCCCAUUUAUCGGAUGUAUCUGUUCUGGCUUAUAUUGAAGUAGCGCUGAUAUUCAUCUGAAGAUGCAUAUGGCAAGAUAAAAAUUAUCAUAUGAACAUUCCAGAUUUAUAACAAAAAUUACCAUAUAAUUAUCAUCGCUGCCUUUGCAUUCCCGUGCAGUUUCCUCUCAAAAUAAUACAUGUUGUCUCACAGCUUAUAAUUAAAUCAUAAGCUCUGUAGCUUCCACAGUAUGACCCAAAUUUUGAAUUUGAAAGGGGGUUCUACAGAGGACUACGAAUAAAUAAAGAAUAUCUAUAAAGCUAAAGAAAUACUCUGUUGUGGGUAAAAGAGUAGUUUGAAUUCCUUUCCUUUCUGUAGAAAAGGAAAAGUACAAGAACUUCGGAUGGUGAACACUUUUUACAAUAUCACAGAAAGAUAGAAGUGAGUAAUCCAUCCCCCAUGAAAUAUCCCAUCUGAUUGCACUACCCAUUAAAUUAACCCAGGCCAAAUAAAAAACCAGGUUAACAACGAUCCAAACAUGAGUCUAACAAUCCACAAUAAUCAACUAUGAAAACGCUGCACUGAAGCUUCCCAAGCUAUAAGAAUUUACUCUUACAAAUCGAUCUUUGUAGCAUCAGCAACCAGUUUAAGAAAUUAAUCAACUUUAAAAACAUAAUUCUAGAAUAAGAACAACUAAAAGUUGUCUGGAAUGCUUGUAUAAUCACACAGUGAGAAUCCAGACGUUCUUUUCUUCUUAAAAGAACAGCUUCAAUUGCCUCUGAACUUCCAUUUGAGAACAUUCAGUUUCUCUGUUCUCAUCUUCAUACUCAUUUACAGUAAUUUUCAUGAUUCAGGAAAAAAUCUGGUAAAUGAAAAUAUGGAUUUUAUUCUUCUGAAAAAGGUACAGAAUGGCCAGCUGCACUGAGAUAGAGCAGUGUGCUUCUACCCUGAUUUGCAACUGAUAUGCUUUCCUCACUGAAAGCUGUCUUCUUAUCUUAGACUGACUUUUCGCAGGGGAAUUAAUGAUACUCUUAUUAUCCUUAUUGUGAAGUGUUAUUCUCUACACUGUAAAGAAACAAGAUACUGUCAUAAUUUACUAUGCCUUUAAGUAUUUUAUCUUCAUCCAAGCUAUAUACUUGUUUCUUCCCUUAUACUUCAGCUAUGCAAACUGUAUCGCUCUGACCAGCUACAUCUGCGAAAACAUGCCAGAGUUGUGCAGGGACUUCCAGAUUGUUAUGAAGAGAUGCUAAAUGGUUUGUAUGAAUUUGAGGACACAUCAGCAUAGCCAGUUCUUGCUUCAUUUGCCUUGCUAUACUAAUUCUUUCCAAGUUGUAAAAAGCUAAAGCAAGAUUAGCUGUGGUGGGGAUGAGAGGGGAGGCUCAAAACGUGUUGAUAUUAUCACACCCAUCAAGGUGUUUGUACAGCCUUGAUGAAUUAUUUCUAAAAAUAGGACUGAUGCAGGUAAUCAAUCUUGCAGGUUUUGUCAGAAAGAUAAGUCCCCCAACCCAGAUAUUGAUUGCUUAUAGCAGGACUAUGUUUAAGAAUGAUAAAAGGCAUUUCAGUCAAUGCAAACUAUGGCCACAGACACCUUGAGGCACAUGCACCAAAAAAAGUUGGGUUUUGUUUUGAUAUAUUUACUUCUCUUUCUUCUUUAAGUGCUGCCAGUUAUUCAGCUCCCACAGUGAUUGUUGCUCUACUCACUUCUCUGGUUUCAGUUUGCAGUUAUCUGUUAAAAUAACAAAUAAAUAAGGGUUACAUUUUGCAACAGUUACCUUUUACAAUAACAAAACCGGUGCAUUUUGCAACACAAGCAACUACAUAGGCAAAGGGGACAAAGAGAGAAUGAUGAGCAUGCUAUGAAAUCAGUGAUUUUUUCUGUAAGUUAUAGCACUGGUAUGAUGGCUAUAUUAUAAAGACAGCAGAUAAUAUUAUUUUAUAUUAAUUAUAUGCUGUCAUUUAAAAGUUCAGUAGUGUUUCAAAUCACAAGGUGACUUCAACAGUAUUCACAGAAAAUGCCAGCAGUGGUGUGCCAGAAGUCUGACAGGAAUUGAUGCUAGCAGUUUGGAGCCACUCACAAGGUAUCCACUGUUACAGGAACAGUACAACUAGUACUUAUCUCCAACGAAGGCAGUUACUGCUUCACUGACGGAGAAAUUCAGAAACUCAAAGCUAUAUUUAGUUUCUUAUUCAACCCAAAUUUGUAUUAAAGAACAGGCAUUAAAGUUGACAAUGUGAUGUGUUUUCUCUUUAUAGGCAGAAUCUUUGUAGAUUUCACAUUCAUGUUUUUCUUAGGAAUGCUACGAAUACCUUCAUGCCCACUUAAAAAACUCCAACGAAACAACCAAGACCUGAAAGCCAGAUUUGCUACAAUAGUAAAUCUAUGCAUACACAUGAAAUAAGUCUGAAAUGACAAAAAAUAAAUGAUAAAAAAUAAUAUUCAGCCCUCCCAAACCCUGCCCCUUCAACUUUCCACAACUAUAUUAUAAACAAGGAGGGCAAAUUUAUAAGAAAUAUAUUCGUGGUCUUAUUAUUAAUAUUAAUACAUGGCAUUUAUAAGAUAUAGAUGUUUGUAAGCUGUGUCUGUGCAGUCUCCAAAUUACACAAGUGAAAGUGUUUUAGCACAUUUCCUGUGUGCCCAAGAAGAAUCCUUCAUAAUUCCUUCUAUUUGUUUCUCAGAUGCUAAAUAAAAUGAAAUGAAUGGCAAGGGAAGAUAAAGUUCUGUAUAGUGUUCCCUCUCCUCUGAAACAUGACUGCCUAUUGAGAUAUUUCUGAGUGUUACUACCCCAGCAGUAUGGUUAUCUGGG